UGCACAUUCGAGUUAUUCUAUCGGUACUAAGAAAUUAAGAUAGUUUUUAAUACAUAAAAAUGAAAAUUUGGUAUUUAAUUAAAAAUCUUUUUAUUUAAAUAUCACAUUAAAAAAAUUAUAAUAAUUUUAGGGUCAAAUAGACAAUUAGACCUUUUUUUCUUUUCAAAGCCAACCAACAACAACGACACAAUGCGAUUCCAUCUCCUUCUCCUUCUCCGGUUUCUCUCUAAAAUCCAAAAUCUAAUUUUUGUUUCUCUCUUCUUUGGCUCUCUCGCAUCGUUGAGUGACCGGCGAGCAGCUAAAUCUCACCGGAAUUUCGCAUUUCUUUUUGUUGUUCCCCGGAAUCAAGCUACCACAAAGAGAGAAUAAACUUCCAUCUUUAUUAUUAUUAUUAUUUUUUUGAAAAUUCUUGUUUGUUUUUAAAUAAUGUUUGGAUAAAAAAAAAGAAGGAAAAAAAAAUCUCUCUCUUGUGGUGAGCAAUGGCUUGCAAUGCAGGGAAAGAGAUGCUGAGAUCCCUUGCCCUAUCAUCUUCCUUUAUGCUUUGAUUUUUUUUUCCUUUUCUUUUCUCUCUCUCAAAAUUGCUCCUUUUUUUUAAUGGGCAUCAGAUCAUGAAAAAGAUUGCAGAUUUUUCUAGAUUUUGGGUUCAAAAGGAUAGGGCCAUUAAGCCAGGAAGGAGCCAACAUUGACAAAUUUUGAGCUUUUAGUUUUUGAGAUUUUCUGGUGUUGAAGCUGAACAAUGCCAUUUGAGAUCAUGGACCAAAGGAAUUCAUCGGCAUCGUCCUACUUUUUUGAAGAGAGUCCAAUCCCAGCUGAGAGACAAGUUGGAUUUUGGAAGCCAAAUACCAUGUCUGAUAACCAAGACAAGUUGGGUGGUUCAUCUCCAUUGGAAAAACUAUCUGCUGAGUGCAUGGAACUUCCUCCAUUAAAUCUGGCCAGGGAUCAAGAAAAAAAGUUGGAUGUUGGUUGGAAGGGAAUUACCAAUUUAUCUGAGCCUUCAUGGAAUUCCGUGAAUCACCAUCCAAAAUCACUGUCAAAUCUGUAUAUGCAACCAGCAGUGAACUUUAAUAGAAACAGCACCAAUGCCAAUGUGAUCCAGCAUGAAAGUAGUCUGUUUUCAAGUUCAUUGUCUGAAAUAUUUAGUAGAAAGUUGAGAUUAUUGGGGAAUGAUCUAUCUUUACAAAAUGCCAGUAAGGCUGCUUCACACCAUGAGGAAGAACCUUUCAAAUCUAUGGAAGAAAUUGAGGCACAGACUAUUGGAAAUCUCCUCCCUGAUGAAGAUGAUCUUUUCUCUGGAGUGAUUGAUGAAUUGGGACUUAAUACUCAUGCCAGUAAAGGAGAUGAAUUAGAAGAUUUUGACCUAUUCGGCAGUGGUGGAGAAAUGGAAUUAGAAGGGAAUGAUCGUGUAUCCAUGGGUCCAAGGAAUUCAGAUCUUGUUGGAAUACUCAAUGGUCAAGGGGGUUCCAGUGGCUCAAUUGUUGGUGAACAUCCAUAUGGUGAACAUCCUUCUAGGAUACUUUUUGUCAGGAACAUUAAUAGCAAUGUGGAAGACUCAGAAUUAAAGGCUCUCUUUGAGCAAUAUGGAGAUAUCCGAACUCUCUAUACUGCUUGCAAGCAUCGUGGGUUUGUUAUGAUUUCUUAUUAUGAUAUAAGGGCAGCCCGAAAUGCAAUGAGGGCUCUGCAAAAUAAGCCAUUGAGGCGUAGGAAACUUGAUAUACAUUAUUCAAUUCCAAAGGAUAAUCCAUCUGACAAAGAUGUAAACCAAGGGGAACUGGUGGUUUUCAACCUCGAUUCUUCUGUUUCACCUGAUGAGCUUCAAAGAAUAUUUAGUGCUUUCGGGGAAAUUAAAGAAAUCCGUGAGUCUCCACACAAGCAUAAUCACAAAUUCAUCGAGUUUUAUGAUGUAAGAGCUGCAGAAGCUGCUUUUAAAGCAUUGAAUAGGAGUGUCAUUGCUGGGAAGCAGAUCAAACUUGAACCAAGCCGUCCAGGGGGUGUUAGGCGUUUUAUGCGACAGUCUGAGCAGGAGCAAGUUGGAUGUAACCUACAUGAAAGCCCUUUUGAUGAUGAGUUAUCAUCUGUACACAUUGUUUCUCCGGGAGUAAUUGCAUCUGGCUACAUGGAUAAUGGAUCUACUCAUGUUGUUGCACCCGUGAAUACCUUUGUUGAACCUCAUCAAAGUUCCAGUGUUCCAAUUAACUUAGCCUCUCCAGCAAGAGUGGCACCUAUAGGCAAACAAUUAAGCCUUCAGGAGCCCAACCACUCGCUGGAUGAAAUGAAGUUUUCUAGCCAAAGUGUACCAAGUUUCCAUCCUCAUUCCUUUCCUGAGUAUCGUGAUAGCUUAGCCAAUGGUAUUCCAUUGAACUCCUCUGGCACCAUAGAAGACAUGGCUAGCAGCAUUGGUCCCAUGAUGGCUGAAGGACUUGAUGAUAGGCAAAUUCGAGGAGCAAGUUCAAAUGGGCACUUGAUGGAACCUAAUGCAGGGGUGUUUGGGUCGUCUGGAAAUGGAAGCUUGUCACUUAAUGGAAAUCAUUACAUGUGGAACAACUCCAACUCACACCAACAACAUCCAUCAAGUGCCAUGGUUUGGCCGAAUUCGCCAUCAUUUGUCAAUGGUGUUCAUGCUAAUCCCCUUCGGCACAUCCCUGCAUUUUCUAGGGCUCCUCCUGUCAUGUUGAAUGUAGGAUCACCUGUACACCACCACAUUGGCUCAGCACCACCAGUUAAUUCUGCAUUCUGGGACAGGCGGCAUCCUUAUGCUGGGGAGUCUCCUGAAACUUCAGGUUUUCACCUGGGAUCUCUUGGAAGUGUGGGUUUUCCUGGUAGUUUGCCAUCGCAUCCUGUGGAAAUUGCUUCCCACAACAUUUUUUCUCAUGUUGGUGGAAAUUGUAUGGAUUUGACAAAAAAUGGUGGGGUACACUCUCCUCAGCAGAUGCACCUUUUCCCUGGCAGGAACCCACAUCGUAGAAAUGAAUCAAAUUCUAUUAAUGCUGACAAGAAACAAUUUGAGCUUGAUAUCGACCGCAUCAUACGUGGGGAAGACAACAGAACAACACUUAUGAUUAAAAACAUACCCAACAAGUAUACCUCAAAGAUGCUUCUGGCGGCCAUUGAUGAGCACUUUCGAGGAACUUAUGAUUUUAUUUAUUUGCCAAUUGACUUCAAGAACAAAUGCAAUGUGGGCUAUGCAUUCCUCAACAUGAUUGAUCCACAACAGAUCAUUCCUUUCUAUAAGGCAUUCAAUGGCAAAAAAUGGGAAAAGUUCAACAGUGAAAAGGUGGCAUCUCUUGCAUAUGCUAGGAUUCAGGGAAAGGCUGCUCUUAUUGCUCAUUUCCAGAAUUCAAGCUUGAUGAAUGAAGAUAAACGUUGCCGCCCUAUUCUCUUUCAUACUGGUGGCCCAAAUGCUGGUGAUCAGGAGCCCUUUCCUAUGGGUACCAACAUUCGAUCAAGACCAGGGAGAUCUCGAACAACUGGCAACGAGGAGAACAACCGUCAAGACUGUUCUUCAACUUUAGCUAACGGGGAGGAAUUUUCCAAUGGCGCAGAAUCAUUGUUAGGUUCUUCCAAGGAUUCUGAUUAAGCAGUGUGCUUAUCCAGCUCUAACUUUAAUACCAUUUCAGAGUACUAGAACUUCAUCCACCCGACUUAAGUAUUUGACGGUGGCCUGAUGACCCUUUUUGCCAUAGAGCAGCAGUUUUGAGAACCAAAAUGCAUAUCCAAAACUAAGUGGUACCUGACAAAUUUUGUUCAUUUUUGUUUGUAUCAAAGGCCAUUAUGAGUGUAAACUGGCGUAAUGUUUUGGAUAGUCUUUGACUGAACAUUACCAUCAUGUAUAGAUGUUCCCGGGCUUAUGCUUUACUUGAGGGAUCCUUUUGUUGUUUCAGUUUUGUAUCCUGAGUCAUGUGAUUUCAUUUUUGUCCCCAAGGCUUUGGAAUCCCUUCCAGUCCUUUUGUUCUAGGUCACAAGAUUGUUGGCGACUCGUAAAACCUUGUUAUCUUCUCUCUUAUUGCAUUGGAAGACAAAGUUUGAAACAGACAACUCGGAUAAAUGCUUUUUGGUGGAUUUUUUUAGCCUUG